UCCAUCUCUUCCCUUUUUAACAUACCAAAAACCAAACCCUAACCAUUUUUUACCAACAACAACCGCACUUCCUUCUCUCUCCCUACGCUUUGUUCUCUCUCUAAACUCCACCAUUACAGCCGCCCAUUUCUCCUUCUCCGGCUAACCGCACCGCCGACGCUGCCGCUACUCCGACGCCUCUCCUCUCCCUCACCCCACCGACGACUCCACCAGUCGAGCCAACAACCCACGAAAGCACUGUUACCUCUUCCUUCUAUCUACACAUUCUGAAGGUCCAAUUUACAGAAAGGAAAAUACAAAUUUGAGGCAAACAACCAACUGGUUUGUUUUUAGCAAGCAUAACUUUGCUCUUGAAUGAACAGGUGCCUUUUGCUAACAGCAACUUAACAAUCCACCCCUAUGUCACUGGCCUCCAACGGUCGGUGCUGUCUCCGACGACGACGUAGCUAUGUUGGUAAUAGGUAAGGGCUCUCUCUCCCACGAUCCUCUCUUCCCAAGAUCUCCCCAUCCCCGUCUCUACUCUCUUCUCUCUCCUUUCCUCCUCUGCCUCCUAGACACGGCUAUCGCCGGCGACCUUAGGGUUCCGUCGGCUCGACUCAUUUCUGAAGAAGGGUAAGAGUGGCAGCAUUGGCAGAGCAGGUUGGUAAGCAGACGAGCCAGCACCCAGUUUCGGCAAGGUUACUCCGGCGACUCACUGGCGGGCUUGUUUCGGUGACCCAUUUACCGGAAACCUAACCAACAGCACACAGGACUAUACAGAAUGAGAUUGAAAGAAAGAAACAAGAAAUAUUAAUUGCUCAAAGUGCAUCAAUUGUGGAAGGAGGAUGAGAAAAGAACUGGACUUGUUGAUGAAGCAUGCAUACAAGAAAUCAUCUUCAAAUGACGAACACCCAUCUCAAGAAGACAACCAAGUUUUAUGAGAAUGAAAGUGAUUCUGACCAUGAUGGUUGAUAGUUUUAUUGAGGGUUCAAGUUUGAAAUAUUUUAUUUUGGACCAUUUAAGAAUCAUACAUUAUUGAUGUGGAUGUUUUGAAUUAUGUUUUUUGUUAGCUGUAAUGGUUUAUAUUAGACUUGUAUUGAAUGAUGUUUUUUUGAGAAUUAUUGAAGGUUUUGAAUAUAUUUUUGACUAAUUGUGAAA